rnacentral:misc_RNA from 1 species
CAACCCUCAAGCUCAGCUUGGUGUUGGGCAACGCGGUCCGCCGCGUGCCUCAAAUCGACCGGCUGGGUCUUCUGUCCCCUAAGCGUUGUGGAAACUAUUCGCUAAAGGUGGCUCGGGAGGCUACGCCGUAAAACAACCCCAUUUCUAA